UGGUAUCCUUGGCGAGCAGAGCUUUAGGAGGUGCCAUUGACAUGAUUGCCUCUCAUAAAGCAGCUCUUUUACAUAGUGACCUAUUUUACGGGGAAGAAGAGGGGAGAGGAGCUUCCCUUGAAGGGAUGCAGAACAUGGCAGCAGUCUGAAGGCUCUGCUUUGCAGCCCAGCUUGGGAGGCCUCUCUGGGGACUUGUUCAUCAGGGAGCCUGUGGGGCAGCCUGGGCCUCAGCCCAGUCAGUGCUGCUGGCACCUUCACGGUUCUGUGGGAAGCUGUGGGGUGAAGGACUGGGCUGGUGUGGGUGUAGUUUUGUGAUGCAGGUGCUUUGGUGGCUGUGAUCGUUUACAGGUUCCCCACUCCACCCUUGGCUGCUUGCUGUGGUUUCUAGAAUUGGUGUGCUUAAUGAGCCUUACCUGGUGAAGAGCAGGGGAGCUGAAAGAUGAGAUGUGGCAACUGAUGGCAAGUGCUGCGGCUGGACAAGGCUCUGGGUUCUUGCUGCUGCUUCUUCUGGAGGUAAAAGGCAUCUGUUUGGUGCUGGGCAUGUGCUGCAGUUCCUGCUCUCCCUGCCGUGCUGCUUCGGUGCAGGCUGUCCCUCCCCUGCUCCACUGCCCAGCUUCUGAACAGAGCUCCAGAGCUGUUUGCUGGCUCUUCACCCAUUUCACAGUGGAAAAUUCUUCCAUGAGCGUUAGUUACAGGAAGCGAAUUAACAUCUCCUUUAAAUGGUCUGGCCUUGUGGGGAGGAAACAGGUCAUUUUGUGAAGUACACUGUUUACUGGAAAGUGAAUGGACUGUCUCCAAAAUAUAUACUUAACCCAAAGGAAGAAAAAUACCUGAGGUGUUUCAGUUUCUAUGUCAAUAUCCAAAUGUGAUGUAGUCCAUAGCUAGUAAAAAUGUGCAUUUU